UACAGAGGUCCCGAGCGUUGUUCGGAAUUACUGGGCGUAAAGCGUGUGUAGGCGGCUACAUAAGUCGGAUGUGAAAGCCCCGGGCUCAACCCGGGAAGUGCACUCGAUACUGCGUAGCUUGAGUCUCGGAGAGGUUGGUGGAAUUCUCGGUGUAGAGGUGAAAUUCGUAGAUAUCGAGAGGAACACCGGUGGCGAAGGCGGCCAACUGGACGAAGACUGACGCUGAGACACGAAAGCGUGGGGAGCAAACAGG
rnacentral:rRNA from 1 species